rnacentral:rRNA from 1 species
UACGGGGGGGAGCAAGCGUUGUUCGGAAUUACUGGGCGUAAAGGGCUCGUAGGUGGCCAACUAAGUCAGACGUGAAAUCCCUCGGCUUAACCGGGGAACUGCGUCUGAUACUGGAUGGCUUGAGUUCGGGAGAGGGAUGCGGAAUUCCAGGUGUAGCGGUGAAAUGCGUAGAUAUCUGGAGGAACACCGGUGGCGAAGGCGGCAUUCUGGACUGCAACUGACACUGAGAGACGAAAGCCAGGGGAGCAAACGGG